rnacentral:rRNA from 1 species
UCGGGAAUUUUGGGCAAUGGGCGAAAGCCUGACCCAGCAACGCCGCGUGAAGGAUGAAGUAUUUCGGUAUGUAAACUUCGAAAGAAUAGGAAGAAUAAAUGACGGUACUAUUUAUAAGGUCCGGCUAACUACGUGCCAGCAGCCGCGGUAAUACGUAGGGACCAAGCGUUGUUCGGAUUUACUGGGCGUAAAGGGCGCGUAGGCGGCUCUGUAAGUCACUUGUGAAAUCUCUGAGCUUAACUCAGAACGGCCAAGUGAUACUGCAGAGCUAGAGUGUAGAAGGGGCAAUCGGAAUUCUUGGUGUAGCGGUGAAAUGCGUAGAUAUCAAGAGGAACACCUGAGGUGAAGACGGGUUGCUGGUCUAACACUGACGCUGAGGCGCGAAGGCGUGGGGAGCAAACAGGAUUAGAUACCCCCGUAGUCCCUGAGCGGGCUGGCAAGGCG